CCUACGGGUGGCAGCAGUGAGGAAUAUUGGUCAAUGGGCGCAAGCCUGAACCAGCCAAGUCGCGUGAGGGAUGAAGGUUCUAUGGAUCGUAAACCUCUUUUAUAAGGGAAUAAAGUGUGGGACGUGUCCUAUUUUGUAUGUACCUUAUGAAUAAGGAUCGGCUAACUCCGUGCCAGCAGCCGCGGUAAUACGGAGGAUCCGAGCGUUAUCCGGAUUUAUUGGGUUUAAAGGGUGCGUAGGCGGAAGGUUAAGUCAGCGGUAAAAUGUCGGUGCUCAACACCGGCCUGCCGUUGAAACUGGUCUUCUUGAGUGAGCGAGAAGUAUGCGGAAUGCGUGGUGUAGCGGUGAAAUGCAUAGAUAUCACGCAGAACUCCGAUUGCGAAGGCAGCAUACCGGCGCUCAACUGACGCUGAGGCACGAAAGCGUGGGGAUCGAACAGGAUUAGAUACCCGUGUAGUC
rnacentral:rRNA from 1 species